UUCAAAGCAAUUUCUACAAGUUUAAAUUCCUUAACCCUGUCCAAGUGGUAUACACACUGUUUUUUCUCAAUAUCAAACUCAGCCAGUCCAGGUUGUCAAAUAACAAUCUAUCUGAUAACCCCAGCGUGUGCUUUGCAUCAGAUGUUGGGUAUGUUUGCUGCAAAUCUAUUGGUUAUAAGAUAUAACAGCCUUUUCUAAUUGGCUGAAUUCAAAUACAGAAAGUUUACCUGUUAGAUUGAAACAUGAAACAUGGUGGACAAUGUACUGGUUUAACUUGUUAAAAUAAAGUUAAAGAAAUUUAACAAACAGAAGAGUUCAUGAGUUUUUCCAUUAAAAACACUUUCUUAAAAUACUUAUGUAUUUAUAUCAUUUGGAAAGUGACAUGAAAUAUUGCUAAAGAGUGAUGCAUACAUUGUUUGAGCAGUCUGUCUAGGAAUAGAACAACAACUGAAGUUGAUGGAAGAUACUGCAGAGUUUGGCAGGGAAAUAAUCCAACAGCAAAGCGGCUCUUUAAGCGCAUUUACCUAGAGGACUUACAGGGCCACAAAUUCAUGAGCACACGUACCUCAUACCAAAAAGGACCCGGAGGCAGUGACUGGUGAUCAAUAUUCUCAGAAGAAGAGGAAAAUGGAAGUGGAAGACUUGGACAAACAUUUUUAAAAACUAGCCUCUGUGUUAAGCCUGGCAGUCUGUGGCUGGUGACAUGUUUUAUUUUGGUUACUUCUUGUAUAAAAAAGACCAGUUAUUUAUUUUGUGAAUUGUAUUUUGUGUUUGUUUUUUGUCUUAAUUUAUUUGUUGUUUUUUUUAUUUAGGAAUUUGGAUAAUUGAAUAAAGUCCGUGUUUAAUAGUACUGAGCAUAGUAUAAUAAAUAACAAAUUUACAACAGUUGUUAAUUUGUUAUGUAUUAUUAUUAACUAUGCCCAGUACUUGAAUACUGGCUGUCUGCAUGGGAAUUUGUUUUCUAGAAAGUUGGUUUCAGACUUAAAUAUUUGAAGUUAACCUUCGGAACUUUUCUAGAAUUGUACUGGAACACAUCAACUAGAACUGAACUUCUGUUAUCAUACUGAAAGUGUUCUAGAAUUAAUAAGGAACAGUUGUUGAACGUUAAAACUUAUGAGAAAAAACUCUAUAACAAUUGUACGUGAUGUGUGUGUGCUUGUAAUUGUGUGUGUUUAUGAACAUAUGUGAGAAAGGAAGUAUACUUGUCAUAAGAGAAAUGUAAAAUUCUACUUCUAUGUUUUAUAUUGUGCCUUUUAUAAGUUUUUCUUUUCUCACCUGUAUAUGCGGGCAUGUUUAUGGAUGUGUUUUUGAAUGUGUGCAUGCAUGCCUGUGGUUAAGAGAGUUGGUACUUUAUGAAAAUGUAAAACCACUCAUUUUUGAAUAUGUACUGUGACUGCAUGUGUGUGGUUAAUGAUUGAUGCCAGAUCUUGUUCUUGUUUAACUUCUAUGAUGAAACCUUUAGUUACAUUCACAUUUGUUUUUCAAAAUCGAUAAAAUGCCUUUGAUCUAUAAUCUGUUUUUUUCUAUUUUAUUUCAGCUUUUUAUUAAAUUCCAUAGCUUUUCACAGAAUUCCAUAUAAUUCUAUGGAAUUUCACGGCAUUCUAUGGAAUUCCACGGCAUUCUAUGGAAUUCCACGGCGUUCUAUGGAAUUCCACGGCGUUCUAUGGAAUUCCACGGCAUUCUAUGGAAUUCCACGGCAUUCUAUGGAAUUCCACGGCAUUCUAUGGAAUUCCACGGCAUUCUAUGGAAUUCCACGGCAUUCUAUGGAUUUCCACGGCAUUAUAUGGAAUGCCACGGAAUUCUAUGGAAUUCCACGGCAUUUUAUGGAAUUCCAUCCCAUAUCAAGUCCCUCUUCUGUUUUUUUUUCACUUUUCCAUUGAUUGCAUGGAAUCGGAUGGAAAGUUAGUGCCAAUACUCCACGGAAUUCCAUCUAACGAUUUCCAUAGAAUUCCAUAUGAUUCCACGGCAGAUCUACAGACGGGG